UACGGGGGGGGGCAAGCGUUGUUCGGAAUUACUGGGCGUAAAGGGCUCGUAGGCGGCCAACUAAGUCCGACGUGAAAUCCCAAGGCUUAACCUUGGAACUGCGUCGGAUACUGGAUGGCUUGAAUUCGGGAGAGGGAUGCAGAAUUCCAGGUGUAGCGGUGAAAUGCGCAGAUAUCAGGAGGAACACCAAUGGCGAAGGCAGCUCGCUGGGACGGUACUGACGCUGAGACGCGAAAGCGUGGGGAGCGAACAGG
rnacentral:rRNA from 1 species